GCAGCAACGAAGACCCAACGCAACCAAAAAUAAAAAGGAAAUUAAAACAAAAAAAAAAGGCAGGAAGAGAAGGAUUCUUCUAUACCUCUGAAUGAGUCAGCCUAAGACCAAGAGGACGGAAUUAGGCAGGAGCCCAGGCUGCACAAUAUGGAAAAAGAGGCUCAGAGAAGUUAAGCGACUGGCUCAAGGUUGCUCAGCCAAUACAUGGCAGAGCAGGAUCCUGUCAUAGCCUUCUGGUUCUUUCCAUUGAGCUGUUCUGCUGCUUAGUUGACUGUCCCUUGGGAAGCAGCUCUGGAGAUCUUCCGUCUUGAUAAUGAAACGUGACUUUUAAAAAAGCUGUCAGCACAGGGGGAAGAAGGGAGUGAGUGAGGGAAGUUGUGCCCCCCCCAGAAGUUGCUGCUGAUUUUGCCCCUGCCAGCAAAGGGAACCACUCUCUCCUUGCCUCCGUUGUUCCAAUCUGUCAAAACACUUGAUGAGGCUCUAGAAACCAAGUUUUAUGAAGGAUGUGUGCAGAAUGAUGGCACGUUCCAACUGGAGAAGAGGAGACGCCAGGAAGAACCAUCACCACUCUCUUCAACCCACUGGUAGGUGGUGUGUGUAACUGGAAGGGUAGUCAGAUCUUGUGUGGCUCAAGAGGUAGAACUAAGAUCCAUGGGUGGGAGCUGGAGGGGGCCAGGUUCCAGGUCAGAAUAAGGAAGUUAGCAGCUACAAUAGAUAGGAGCUGAGCCAUGGUUCAAGCAGCUGUUACUGGAGGAAGCUUGCCCAUUAUUUACAUUAUCAUCGUCUUCAUCACCUGUAUCAUCAUCACUGUUUACUGAGCACGUACUGGGCGCCAGACCCUCUGCUAAGCACUUCACCUGCAUGAUCUCAGUUAGCGUCCCUUCUAUGUACUGUCACCUCCUUUUCUCUCCCUAUCCCCUAACCCCUCUGGCUUGUAGUUUUGGAGAGGUUUGGAGAUUGGAACAAGGAAUCUGGACAAGGCUGGAGAGUCUGGGGAGAGAUUGGUCCUGGUAGGGAGGUGCUUACAGAAGUGUAGGGCUUAGGAAACAGAGUAUUUGCCUGUUGCAAAACUAGAUUCACCCUUCUGUGUCUGAUAACCAGGCCUUGUCCUUAGUGGAGUGAGCAGAUAAAUGUGUCCUUUGCCUCAGCCUUCCCUUUCUGAUCCUCUUAGCUGCACAUGCCAUGAGAUAUACCAU